CCUUCUACUUCGUGGAAAGGGAUGGAGGACGUCAAGAGAGGAUAGGACACCAGUGGCCAGCCCGACGUUGAUGCACUGAAAAGAGGGAAGUGUAGUAAGAGCUGUACCUCCAGGACAUGUGAGCAUGGUGUUGGAUGCCCAUCCUGCAGGACAGUCCGGGCCACGAGGGUGCUGGCUGCCGCUUUGCCUUGCUCUGAGGAAAGAGAAAUGCAUUUUAUACCUUAUCCGAACAGUCUUAAGAGCAUUGAGUCAGGGGUGAUUAAACUCGUCGCCCGGGUACCAAAUGGAACAACAACAAAAAACACGGCUGCACAACAUCACCACCUUGAGGGAGAAGGCUGUCUUCUUUUGGGAUGAAGCACAUUAUCCUCCACCUCCCUAGCACACAAGACUUGCUGACGCACAUGUGGUGCAGCGAAUCAGAUCAGUGGAAAAUGGCCUGAGUAGAAAGGCGGUGCACCUGUGUUGGCCAACUCAACUCUAAGGGCAGUCUUCUGAGAACCGGGGUACUGGACAUGGCAUGUAGAGGUUGAACUACAAUAACAGCACUACUUGGAGCCAUAAAAAACCCAAGAACCUCGACUAAGUGUCCCCCUUGUGUCACCACAACUGCUCUGACCCAUCGGCAUGGACUCCACAAGACCUCUGUAGGUGUCCUCUGGUAUCUGGCACCAAGACAUGGGCAGCAGAUCUUUUCAGUCCUGCAAAGACUGAUGGACUUGUGCACUACAGAAAAAGUUGCCUUAUUGAAAAUGAUGUCUGGAAGACAUGGGACGUGCAAAGGGACUGAAGAUCAACAAGGACACUUGAAGUAUUCUGUAAUCCGAGAUGUUGGAGACAGUAAGAGAUUGGCAAAAUGACUCCAAGGGAACAUGUUGAUCCUUCUCGAUACUGUGAAAAUGGUCACCAAUAGGGCUCUCGAGUUUUGUGUUUUUUAAAUUUAUUUCUGAUUUUUUUCCUUUUUCUCACAGUUUAGUGGCCAGUCGAUCCCUAUUUUAGUUCAAACACCCACCCUUGUACUGCAUGCGUUCGCCAACUGCAUCUCUCCGGCUGGCAGUCUCCAAGGAGACCCUUGCCACUUCCAUGACAAGGUGAAUCCAGGCUGAACCACUGCUUCCCCCCCACCACACACAGACGCAUUCAUGGGACGAACACAAGCCGACUCCGCCCCCCUCCCGAAGACAGCGCUGCCAGUUACUGCUGCUUCACUGAGUCCGGCCAUAGUCGGAUCUGACGAGAGCGGGGCGCGGGCUCUCGAGUUUUUUAGGCAUGGAAAUAUGUGCACUUACCUGGAGGUGUGUAUGUGUUGCAAAGUCAUUGUUUUAAUUAUCUGAAAAUAAACUUUCUGUAAUUUUGUUGUAAAGUGUGCACAGAUAGCCAGGAAGACAUUUGAGCCAUUAUGUACCAUAAAGCUUUAGUGACAGUUUGUAUGGAAUGUGAACUGACAGAUGAAACACAUCUAUUUGAACUACAUCUGCAGUUAGACUCAGAAUACAUUAUUCAUCCCCGAGGGGAAAUUAAGUUCUAUUACAGUCACGCUCUAAAAACUAACAAAAUAGAAAACAGAAACAAGAUAAAUAAGAAAUAGAAAUAAGAACAAAAUAUAUCAACAAGCAUGGUGCAUAUAACACCCUAUCUAUACUGCACUACCGCAGCACACAAGCGGCACAAAACUCGACAGGGCCAAUCCAAUGACCAUUAACUCCGUGUCUUGACGGUCAGAGUCUGAGGGGGGAGGUGUAAAGUCUGAUGGCCACAGGCAGGAAUGACCUCCUGCGGCGCUCUGUGGUGCUUUUCGGCAGCAUGAGUAUUACUAAAAGUACUCCUGUGCCCGACCAGCACGUCAUGGAGUGGGUGGGAGACACUGCCCAUGAUGGCACAUAACUUCAACAGCGUCCUCCUCUCAGAAACCGCCGCCAGAGAAUCCAGUUCCACCCCCACAACGUCAUCGGCCUUGCGGAUCAGUUUAUUGAGCCUGUUUGCAUCCACUACCCUCAACCUGCUGCCCCAACACACAACAGCAAACAGGAGAGCACUGGCCACCAUAGACUCACACCACAUCCUGAGCAUUGUCUGGCAGAUGUUGAAGGACCUCAGCCUCCUCAAAAAGUAGAGACGACUCUGUCCCUUCCUGUAGAGGGCAUCAGUGUUCUUAGCCCCGUCCAGUUUAUUGUUUAUAUACACCCCCAGGUACUUAUCGUAUUCCAGUGCCCACACUGUGGAAUACUAUAAGGUGAACAGAACAAGCCGAUAUUGUUUGACUGAUAUUGUUUGAUAUAUCCUUUGACUUUAAAAAAAAGAAACAUUAAAGAUACAUGAAACAUUUUGAA